rnacentral:sRNA from 1 species
AAAGGAAUAUAGAAAAUGUAAUAAAUGUUCUGAUCACAAAUUCCAAAAUGUUCCGACCCCUAAUUUCUGAUAGGGGUCAUUGUUUCUGAGAUUAGAUAAUUACAUAAAAACAAAAACUGAAUUCCUAAAACUUAUUCCACUCUGCUACUCUGGGACAAAGCACAAGUAAGACAACCUGAAGAAUCAAAUGAUCAUAAAUCUCCAACUUCAUCAUUGACUUUUUUCUCACAUAAUGCUUCUUCAACAACCAACUCAUGCUCAAAGGAUUGAUCAUGAAAAUCAUGUGUUGGUGAGUGGUCUCCAUCUUCAAACUGACAAAUAGAUUUCCUAUUUUUGAUCAAGAGAUACAAAAGGUAUUCUAGAAGCUCCUUCUCCUUUGGGUUUGUUUCAUUCACUUCAUCAAGUUGAUUCUUAAUAGUUGCUUUCUCUACUAAGAUUGAUAAUGCAGAUUUGAUCUCCAAUCUAGAAGUUGCAAUCUGUAUAGCUUCAAGUUCUUCCUUUUCCAUAGAAGCUUUAUCUGAGAAAUUCUUCUCAAACAGUGAAAGUAGUACCUUCCUAGCCUCUUCUUCUGUAAAUUCCAGGGAAAAUUUUGCACUCCUAAGGUCAUGUAGUAUUGCAGAUAUCUGUAUUCCAAUUCCCAGUCUCAGAUAUUACCAAGUUUCAAAAAUCACAAGUCACACUAAUACAAAGAAAAAUCUUAAAUUUGUUUACAUAAACUUCUCUAUGAACUAGAAAAGAAAAUACAAAUGAAGAAUUAAAACUAAAACUUAUGCUUAUCUCCUUUAUUACUUCUUCUAAAACUAUAGUUUUAAUUCAAUAAGUGUUUCAUAAGAAGUUAACUCAAACAUAUUCAUGUUAUGCAGAUGCAAGAGGCUAAUCAAAAAGUGUAACCAACCUUAUCAGCCAAGGGUAUUGUAACUGCACCUUGAAUCUCUGUCAAGUACAGCUCAAAAGCGUUUCUUAGUUUUUGACAUUUUGAAAGUAUCCUGCGGGAUGUGAUUGCCUAAGCAGUUUGUAAUCCAGGUUAGUCAUUUCAGACCAACAUUUCAAAGCAUGAACAGUGUAAAGUAUUCAAAGAUUAUGGCAGACAAUUUAUACGUAUCAAACUAAUUUUGAAUUGAUCUAUCAGUAUCAUCAGAGUGAAGGUUUCAAGUUCAAAAGGGUGCCUACCAGAUUCAAUAUCUAAAAUUAUAAGUGAAAUUCUAUCGAUGAGUCUUUGAAGCUCUAAGCACAAAGAAUGGUGUACCUGCACAAAUGAAAAUAUGAAUGAAGUGUAAAAUCACAUAAAGGUUUCUAUCUAUUAUACCUAUGUUUUACAUAAUUUCAUCUCAUGUAACACUUCCUCAAUAAACAAAAUAAUUGAUCAGCUAGUUUAGCUGCACUUAUUCAGCAUCUUGAAAGAGAACCUUACUAUUACUAACAGAACACUGCUAUUUCUGUAAUCAGAUGAACUUUUUUC